rnacentral:lncRNA from 1 species
GAAGAGAAGCAGAAGUAAAGGACAUUGAGACAAGCCGAAGCACAACAAAUGUUGAAGUGAAAGAAGUCCUCACCAAUCUAGGACUCCAUCUCAGGAUGCCAAUCUUGGAGCCCACCAUGAAAAAUCAGUAGCUAUACCCCUUUUAAUGCCUCAAGGACAAAUUCUAAUGGAGAUAGAAAACCAAAUUCGACUGUCGAAGAGGAUAUAGGGCCUAGCCUAUUGAAGGGAUUCAAAGG